rnacentral:rRNA from 1 species
UGUAAGCCCACGGCUCAACCGUGGAGGGUCAUUGGAAACUGGGAGACUUGAGUGCAGAAGAGGAAAGUGGAAUUCCAUGUGUAGCGGUGAAAUGCUUAGAGAUAUGGAGGAACACCUGUGGCGAAGGCGACUUUCUGGUCUGUAACUGACACUGAGGCGCGAAAGCGUGGGGAGCAAACAGGAUUACAUACCCUGGUAGUCCACGCCGUAA